GCAGCUUGCUGCUUCGCUGACGAGUGGCGGACGGGUGAGUAAUGUCUGGGAAGCUGCCUGAUGGAGGGGGAUAACUACUGGAAACGGUAGCUAAUACCGCAUAAUGUCGCAAGACCAAAGAGGGGGACCUUCGGGCCUCUUGCCAUCGGAUGUGCCCAGAUGGGAUUAGCUUGUUGGUGGGGUAACGGCUCACCAAGGCGACGAUCCCUAGCUGGUCUGAGAGGAUGACCAGCCACACUGGAACUGAGACACGGUCCAGACUCCUACGGGAGGCAGCAGUGGGGAAUAUUGCGCAAUGGGCGCAAGCCUGAUGCAGCCAUGCCGCGUGUAUGAAGAAGGCCUUCGGGUUGUAAAGUACUUUCAGCGGGGAGGAAGGGAGUAAAGUUAAUACCUUUGCUCAUUGACGUUACCCGCAGAAGAAGCACCGGCUAACUCCGUGCCAGCAGCCGCGGUAAUACGGAGGGUGCAAGCGUUAAUUGGAAUUACUGGGCGUAAAGCGCACGCAGGCGGUUUGUUAAGUCAGAUGUGAAAUCCCCGGGCUCAACCUGGGAACUGCAUCUGAUACUGGCAAGCUUGAGUCUCGUAGAGGGGGGUAGAAUUCCAGGUGUAGCGGUGAAAUGCGUAGAGAUCUGGAGGAAUACCGGUGGCGAAGGCGGCCCCCUGGACGAAGACUGACGCUCAGGUGCGAAAGCGUGGGGAGCAAACAGGAUUAGAUACCCUGGUAGUCCACGCCGUAAACGAUGUCGACUUGGAGGUUGUGCCCUUGAGGCGUGGCUUCCGGAGCUAACGCGUUAAGUCGACCGCCUGGGGAGUACGGCCGCAAGGUUAAAACUCAAAUGAAUUGACGGGGGCCCGCACAAGCGGUGGAGCAUGUGGUUUAAUUCGAUGCAACGCGAAGAACCUUACCUGGUCUUGACAUCCACGGAAGUUUUCAGAGAUGAGAAUGUGCCUUCGGGAACCGUGAGACAGGUGCUGCAUGGCUGUCGUCAGCUCGUGUUGUGAAAUGUUGGGUUAAGUCCCGCAACGAGCGCAACCCUUAUCCUUUGUUGCCAGCGGUCCGGCCGGGAACUCAAAGGAGACUGCCAGUGAUAAACUGAGGAAGGUGGGGAUGACGUCAAGUCAUCAUGGCCCUUACGACCAGGGCUACACACGUGCUACAAUGGCGCAUACAAAGAGAAGCGACCUCGCGAGAGCAAGCGGACCUCAUAAAGUGCGUCGUAGUCCGGAUUGGAGUCUGCAACUCGACUCCAUGAAGUCGGAAUCGCUAGUAAUCGUGGAUCAGAAUGCCACGGUGAAUACGUUCCCGGGCCUUGUACACACCGCCCGUCACACCAUGGGAGUGGGUUGCAAAAGAAGUAGGUAGCUUAACCUUCGGGAGGGCGCUUACCACUUUGUGAUUCAUGACUGGGGUGAAGUCGUAACAAGGUA
rnacentral:rRNA from 1 species